CAACCGCCGCCGCCGCAGUUCGCCGCCGAGCACUGCCGCCUGUUUCGAAGGAGCCAAUCGGAGCUGGGGGCGUGGUCUGGAGCCCCGCCCCCAGGGGCUUCCUGCGGCGCGCUGGCUGGGUGAGGACUGCGCGGCGGCCUCUGGUUGCAGAAGGACAAGGAGGAUGUGACAGAGCGUCCCUCCGUCUUGCAGGCUCAGUGGAGCGACAGCCCCUUCUGUUUGUGCCCGUCACGCAGGAGAGUGUGUGAAGCCCGCCUCUCAAGGCUGCUUCUGAGCGCCCAGGAGUUGCAGCUGCUUCCAACCCUAAAAUCCGCUCAUGUCCGGAUGGGCGCUGAUGCCUCCAGAAAUACAAACCAACCCAGCAGGAACCGGUCCUAAGCAAGUCUUUUAGACAGUGAACCCCCUCCCCUUACUCCGUACUGUGAAAGAUAGAGAGGGAGAGGAACCCUGCAGCCUCACUGGAUGCCAAAGGAGGCUGUUGGCCCUUCCUUCAGGAAACAUAGGGGAGGGGGAUUUGGAUGUCAAAGCAACAAUGUAACCAUGUGACUGUUACACUAUAGCGAUAGAUGCCAGUUAACUUCCAAAGUGGCUUUUGUUUGUUUGUUUUAAUGUGGCUGAAAGCCUGGAGGUCUGUGUUCUGGCUCAGGCCCUUAGUUUCCUGCCACUUCUGUUUGUUAAGUCCUGACACCUCAGUGGUUCGUCUUUCUCCCUCUCUGAAGUGUGGGCAUUGAACGGAAGCCUGGUCUCCAACAAAAACAGUACAGCACACUGCUGCUUUCAUAUGAAACAAAUGAAAACAGUCUGAAUCUUCAAAGUGUUGAGGAGCGUGGAAAUGGAAGUCUGUGAGGGAGGGUCAUGGCCAGAGCUUUGGAAGUGGCUGGAUCUUGAAGGAACAGCAAGAAGCUGUCAGGAGGACAUGGCAAGGAAGGAGUGCUUCCUAGGCAGAAGGAACCAGAAAUGUAGGAUACGUGGAGAGCCCUCAUCCAGUGGCUGAUGGAAGCAGAGGCAGACAACCACAGACACACACUGAACUGAACUCUGGAACCCAAUUGCAGAGAGGGAGGAAUGAAAAUCAAAGGGUCAGUACCAGGCUGGUGAAACCCACAGAAAGAGCUGGCCUGAAAAAGUGGGAGCACAUGGACCCCAGACUGCUGUCUGGGAGGCUAGAUCCCUGAACAUGGAUGUCAGAGAGGAGGCCUCCACACUCUAUGGGGUCCCUGGUAGUGGAUCAGUAUUUUUUCCCUGUUGUAAGAAGGGACUUUGAGAGCCCAUCCCACGUGAAGGGAUGCUCUCUUGGCCUGGACACAAGGGGGAGGGCCUACGCCCAGCCCAGAAUGAUGUGAUGGACUUUGGGGAGCCCCUGUCGAGGGCCCUACCUUGCCUGGGGAGUGGAGGG
rnacentral:lncRNA from 1 species